ACUCAAAGGAAUUGACGGGGACUUGCACAAGCAGUGGAUUAUGUGGCUCAAUUCGAUGGUAAACGAAGAACCUUACCAGGGUUAGAAAUCCUAGUGAAAGCCCGAGGAAACUCGGGGCCUCGCAAGACUCUAGGACAGGUGAUGCAUGGCCGUCGUCAGUUCGUGGUUUGAAUUGUACCCUUAAGUGGGCUAACGAACGCAACCCUCGUUGUGUGUUACAAGUGUCACACGAGACCGCCCCCGCUCAAGCGCAGAAAUUAGAAAGCAAAAAUUUCUUUGUGCGUUUAAGCGGGGGAGGAAGGAGAGGAUGACGCCAGGUCAGCAUGUCCCUUUGAUACCCUGGGCUGCACACAUAAUACAAUCGCCGUUACAACGCGGAGCGACGGGGCGACCCUGAGCAAAUCGUUUAAAAGCGGCGUCAGUUCGGAUUGGAGGCUGCAACUCGCCUCCAUGAAGCUGGAAUUGCUAGUAAUCGCAGGUCAGCUAAACUGCGGUGAAUACGUUCUCAAGUCUUGUACACACCGCCCGU
rnacentral:rRNA from 1 species